GACGAACCGGACGAACGUUAUUCGGAAUCACUGGGCUUAAAGCGUGCGUAGGCGGCGUGGUAAGUUGGAUGUGAAAUCCCUCGGCUUAACCGAGGAAUUGCGUUCAAAACUGCCUCGCUCGAGGGAGAUAGGGGUGAGCGGAACUAAUGGUGGAGCGGUGAAAUGCGUUGAUAUCAUUAGGAACACCGGUGGCGAAAGCGGCUCACUGGGUCUUCACUGACGCUGAGGCACGAAAGCUAGGGUAGCGAACGGG
rnacentral:misc_RNA from 1 species